rnacentral:rRNA from 1 species
UACGGAGGGUGCGAGCGUUGUCCGGAAUCACUGGGCGUAAAGGGCGUGUAGGCGGUUCGGUAAGUGGAAUGUGAAAUCCCCCGGCUUACCCGGGGAACUGCAUCCCAUACUGCUGGACUUGAGUGCGGGAGAGGAUGGAGGAAUUCCUGGUGUAGCGGUGAAAUGCGUAGAUAUCAGGAGGAACACCUGUGGCGAAGGCGUCCAUCUGGCCCGUUACUGACGCUGAGGCGCGAAAGCUAGGGGAGCAAACGGG